rnacentral:rRNA from 1 species
UGNUUUNANNANCUUGCUCANAUAUGACGAUGGACAUUGCANAGAGUGGCGAACGGGUGAGUAACACGUGGGAAACCUACCUCUUAGCAGGGGAUAACAUUUGGAAACAGAUGCUAAUACCGUAUAACAAUGACAACCGCAUGGUUGUUAUUUAAAAGAUGGUUCUGCUAUCACUAAGAGAUGGUCCCGCGGUGCAUUAGCUAGUUGGUAAGGUAAUGGCUUACCAAGGCGAUGAUGCAUAGCCGAGUUGAGAGACUGAUCGGCCACAAUGGGACUGAGACACGGCCCAUACUCCUACGGGAGGCAGCAGUAGGGAAUCUUCCACAAUGGGCGAAAGCCUGAUGGAGCAACGCCGCGUGUGUGAUGAAGGGUUUCGGCUCGUAAAACACUGUUGUAAGAGAAGAAUGACAUUGNAGAGUAACUGUUCAAUGUGUGACGGUAUCUUACCAGAAAGGAACGGCUAAAUACGUGCCAGCAGCCGCGGUAAUACGUAUGUUCCAAGCGUUAUCCGGAUUUAUUGGGCGUAAAGCGAGCGCAGAGGGUUAUUUAAGUCUGAAGUGAAAGCCCUCAGCUCAACUGAGGAAUUGCUUUGGAAACUGGAUGACUUGAGUGCAGUAAAAGGAAAGUGGAACUCCNUGGUGUAGCGGUGAAAUGCGUANAAUAUAUGGAAGAACCCCAGUGGCGAAAGGCGGCUUUCUGGACUGUAACUUGACGUUGANGGCUCNAAAAGUGUGGGUAGCAAACAGGAUUAGAAUACCCUGGUAGUCCCACCGNUAAACAUNAAANUGCUAAGGGGGNUUUGAGGGUUUCCCCCCCUUNAGUGCCGCAACUNACGCAUUAAGCCUCCCNCCUGGGAUACAC